AUUGAACGCUGGCGGCAUGCUUUACACAUGCAAGUCGAACGGCAGCAUGGGUGCUUGCACCUGAUGGCGAGUGGCGAACGGGUGAGUAAUGUAUCGGAACAUAUCCGCAAGUGGGGGAUAACGUAGCGAAAGUUACGCUAAUACCGCAUAUUCCCUGAGGGGGAAAGGAGGGGAUCCGCAAGGACCUUUCGCUUACGGAGUGGCCGAUAUCAGAUUAGCUAGUUGGUGAGGUAAAGGCUCACCAAGGCUUCGAUCUGUAGCGGGUCUGAGAGGAUGAUCCGCCACACUGGGACUGAGACACGGCCCAGACUCCUACGGGAGGCAGCAGUGGGGAAUUUUGGACAAUGGGGGCAACCCUGAUCCAGCCAUGCCGCGUGAGUGAAGAAGGCCUUCGGGUUGUAAAGCUCUUUCAGCUGGAAAAAAAUCGCUUCACCUAAUACGUGGAGUGGAUGAUGGUACCAGCAGAAGAAGCACAGGCUAACUACGUGCCAGCCGCCGCCGUAA
rnacentral:rRNA from 1 species